rfam:Buceros rhinoceros silvestris contig19934, whole genome shotgun sequence.
UGCAGAUGAUGUGGAAGAAUAUUUGCUAUCUGAGUGAUAGUGCUGACACGUUGCCACCAAGAUCACUGAUGCA